CGUAGGGUCCGAGCGUUGUCCGGAAUUAUUGGGCGUAAAGGGCUCGUAGGCGGUUCGUCGCGUCGGGAGUGAAAACUCGGAGCUCAACUCCGAGCCUGCUUCCGAUACGGGCAGACUAGAGGUAGGCAGGGGAGAGCGGAACUCCUGGUGUAGCGGUGGAAUGCGCAGAUAUCAGGAAGAACACCGGUGGCGAAGGCGGCUCUCUGGGCCUUACCUGACGCUGAGGAGCGAAAGCGUGGGUAGCGAACAGGAUUAGAUACCCUGGUAGUCCACGCCGUAAACGUUGGGCGCUAGGUGUGGGGGACAUUCCACGUCCUCCGUGCCGCAGCUAACGCAUUAAGCGCCCCGCCUGGGGAGUACGGCCGCAAGGCUA
rnacentral:rRNA from 1 species